AUGAGUAACACGUGGGUAACCUGCCUGUAAGACUGGGAUAACUCCGGGAAACCGGGGCUAAUACCGGAUGCUUGUUUGAACCGCAUGGUUCAAACAUAAAAGGUGGCUUCGGCUACCACUUACAGAUGGACCCGCGGCGCAUUAGCUAGUUGGUGAGGUAAUGGCUCACCAAGGCAACGAUGCGUAGCCGACCUGAGAGGGUGAUCGGCCACACUGGGACUGAGACACGGCCCAGACUCCUACGGGAGGCAGCAGUAGGGAAUCUUCCGCAAUGGACGAAAGUCUGACGGAGCAACGCCGCGUGAGUGAUGAAGGUUUUCGGAUCGUAAAGCUCUGUUGUUAGGGAAGAACAAGUACCGUUCGAAUAGGGCGGUACCUUGACGGUACCUAACCAGAAAGCCACGGCUAACUACGUGCCAGCAGCCGCGGUAAUACGUAGGUGGCAAGCGUUGUCCGGAAUUAUUGGGCGUAAAGGGCUCGCAGGCGGUUUCUUAAGUCUGAUGUGAAAGCCCCCGGCUCAACCGGGGAGGGUCAUUGGAAACUGGGGAACUUGAGUGCAGAAGAGGAGAGUGGAAUUCCACGUGUAGCGGUGAAAUGCGUAGAGAUGUGGAGGAACACCAGUGGCGAAGGCGACUCUCUGGUCUGUAACUGACGCUGAGGAGCGAAAGCGUGGGGAGCGAACAGGAUUAGAUACCCUGGUAGUCCACGCCGUAAACGAUGAGUGCUAAGUGUUAGGGGGUUUCCGCCCCUUAGUGCUGCAGCUAACGCAUUAAGCACUCCGCCUGGGGAGUACGGUCGCAAGACUGAAACUCAAAGGAAUUGACGGGGGCCCGCACAAGCGGUGGAGCAUGUGGUUUAAUUCGAAGCAACGCGAAGAACCUUACCAGGUCUUGACAUCCUCUGACAAUCCUAGAGAUAGGACGUCCCCUUCGGGGGCAGAGUGACAGGUGGUGCAUGGUUGUCGUCAGCUCGUGUCGUGAGAUGUUGGGUUAAGUCCCGCAACGAGCGCAACCCUUGAUCUUAGUUGCCAGCAUUCAGUUGGGCACUCUAAGGUGACUGCCGGUGACAAACCGGAGGAAGGUGGGGAUGACGUCAAAUCAUCAUGCCCCUUAUGACCUGGGCUACACACGUGCUACAAUGGACAGAACAAAGGGCAGCGAAACCGCGAGGUUAAGCCAAUCCCACAAAUCUGUUCUCAGUUCGGAUCGCAGUCUGCAACUCGACUGCGUGAAGCUGGAAUCGCUAGUAAUCGCGGAUCAGCAUGCCGCGGUGAAUACG
rnacentral:rRNA from 1 species